rnacentral:rRNA from 1 species
AGCUCCAUUAGCGUAUAUUAAAGUUGUUGCAGUUAAAAAGCUCGUAGUUGGAUUUCAGUACGGGCCAGUUGGUCGGCCGCAAGGCCUGUUACUGGCUGGUCUGUUCUUCUUGUCAAAGACUGCUUGUGCUCUUCGUUGAGUGUGCGUAGGAUUUGGGACGUUUACUUUGAAAAAAUUAGAGUGUUCAAGGCAGGCCUUUCAGCUUGAAUACAUGAGCAUGGAAUAAUGGAAUUGGACUACGGUCCCUAUUUCGUUGGUUUCGAGGACCGAAGUAAUGAUUAAGAGGGACAGUUGGGGGCAUCCGUAUUUCAUAGUCAGAGGUGAAAUUCUUGGAUCUAUGAAAGACGAACAACUUCGAAAGCAUUUGCCAAGAGUGUUUUCAUUAAUCAAGAACGAAAGU